rnacentral:rRNA from 1 species
UACGUAGGGGGCAAGCGUUGUUCGGAAUUACUGGGCGUAAAGGGCUCGUAGGCGGCCAACUAAGUCGGACGUGAAAUCCCUCGGCUCAACCGGGGAACUGCGUCCGAUACUGGAUGGCUUGAAUCCCGGAGAGGAGGGUGGAAUUCCUGGUGUAGCGGUGAAAUGCGUAGAUAUCAGGAGGAACACCGGUGGCGAAGGCGGCCCUCUGGACGGUGACUGACGCUGAGACGCGAAAGCGUGGGGAGCAAACAGG